GAUGAACGCUGGCGGCGUGCCUAAUACAUGCAAGUCGAGCGAACAGAUAAGGAGCUUGCUCCUUUGACGUUAGCGGCGGACGGGUGAGUAACACGUGGGUAACCUACCUAUAAGACUGGAAUAACUCCGGGAAACCGGGGCUAAUGCCGGAUAACAUUUAGAACCGCAUGGUUCUAAAGUGAAAGAUGGUUUUGCUAUCACUUAUAGAUGGACCCGCGCCGUAUUAGCUAGCUGGUAAGGUAACGGCUUACCAAGGCAACGAUACGUAGCCGACCUGAGAGGGUGAUCGGCCACACUGGAACUGAGACACGGUCCAGACUCCUACGGGGGGCAGCAGUAGGGAAUCUUCCGCAAUGGGCGAAAGCCUGACGGAGCAACGCCGCGUGAGUGAUGAAGGUCUUCGGAUCGUAAAACUCUGUUAUUAGGGAAGAACAAAUGUGUAAGUAACUGUGCACGUCUUGACGGUACCUAAUCAGAAAGCCACGGCUAACUACGUG
rnacentral:rRNA from 1 species